AAGCAGCACCACAUCAGCAGGCACAAAAGUAUGAACUUCAAGCACUGUCACGAGAGAUCAGAGACAGCGAACCAUUAUUUAAUGAAACCUCUUGAAAGAGGAUUAAGAGAGGCAGCUAAAGAAUCAAUGCAAGUGACCACAAGAAAUCAUGCCCAUCCAGCAGUCCAGUUUCUGAAGCUUACCUGGGUUCAGGUGUUGGGUGCAGCAGUCUAAGCAGAGACACCCAGACCUCCUUUUCCUUUGCAGCUUCCUGCACCAGAGGCCCAGUCUCUCUUUAUACAGUCUUUGUCAGACUAUGUAAAG